rnacentral:sRNA from 1 species
AUUCUAAUAUGACUAGAUGUCAUGUGUAUGACUCAGUAUAAAAACUAGAACCGCAACAGAUCUUAAAAGCAUAAGUAUUGUAUCAUUGUUAGAAGAUACAAUGACGAAGACUCAUAUGGACUUCGGCUACACCAUCAAAACUUUGAGAAGCAAGAAGCAACUUGGUUAGUGUUUUGGAGUCGAAUAUGACUUGAUGUCAUGUGUAUGAGUGAGUAUAAAAACUAGAACCGCAACGGAUUUUAAAAGCCUAAAUAUUGUAUCCUUGUUAGAAGAUACAUAGACAAAGACUCAUACGGUAUUCGGCUAAACCAUCAAAGCUUUUAGAAGCAAGAAGAAGCUUGGUUAGUGUUUUGGAGUGAAAUAUGACUAGAUGUCAUGUGUAUGGGUGAGUAUACCAUCUAGAACCGCAAUUGGAAUUUUAAAAGCCUAAGUAUUGUAUCCUUGUUAGAAGAUACAAAGACAAACACUCAUACGGACUUUGGCUACACCAUCAAAGCUUUGAGAAGCAAGAAGAAGCUUGGUUAGUGUUUUCGAGUCGAAUAUGACUAGAUGUGAUGUGUAUGAUUGAGUAUAAGAAAUUAAACCGCAACCGGAUCUUAAAAGCCUAAGUAGUGUUUCCUUGUUAGAAGAUACAAAGGCAAAGCCUCAUACAGACUUUAGCUAUACCAUCAAAGCCUUGAGAAGCAAGAAGAAGCUUGGUUAGUGUUUUGGAGUCAAAUAUUACUAGAUGUCAUGUGUAUGAGUGAGUAUGACAACUAGAACCAUAACCGGAUCUUAAAAACCUAAGUACUGAAUCUUUAUUAGAAGAUAUAAAGACAAAGACUCAUACAGACUUCGACUACACUAACAAAGCUUUGAGAAGCAAGAAGAAGCUUGGUUAGUGUUUUUGAUUC